rnacentral:tRNA from 1 species
GUAAAUAUAGUUUAACAAAAACAUUAGAUUGUGAAUCUAACAAUAGAGGCUAAAAUCUCUUAUUUACC